AUGGAGGGGCAUUGGGUGGUGCUCUGCUUCUUCAUGCCGGCGUGCCGCUGGGUCUGGGAUGGACCACGUCACCCGAGACCCAGCCACCCGAGCCAAUUCCCUCCGAGCGCCAGCAGUGUCCGAAUCCAAAUUCCAACCCAACCCACCCUACUCGCCUCAUGCCACUCCCCAUGCUUCUCUGCUUCCCCUUUCCACCGCUGCGCUGCCCCCUUCUCGCCCUUGCCAUGGCGGCGGCCUCACCCUCAAGCCGCUGGGGUGCCGCCGCGGGCACGUGCGAGUUGGGGCGUCGCCAGAGACUACCGAGCAACCACCGUCCAGAACCCAGGCGAUUAUGGACAAGAUCUCUUCUGCCGGCGACGAGGUCGGCGGCGCCGGCGGGGCGUACUCAUAUGA
rnacentral:rRNA from 1 species